UCUAGGUAGUCCAGGUUAGCUUUGAACUCAUGAUUUUUCUGCUUCUGUCUUCUAAGUGGUGGGAUCAUGGCUAUGUGUCUCCAUGCCUGGAUCAGUAUCUCUCCAUCUUGAUCCAAACAAACCUUUAGUUUAGUGGGAUGUGGGCUUAUGUCACUCAACACAACUUGUACAGAUGAUGAGUUAGUGCUGGUUAUAACGAAGGAUGAUUUUCCACUAACAUGCUCAGAAGUGGGUGGUUCGAAGGGCCAGGUACAGGCUAUUGCUAAACAGGAAUGGUAUUCUAUGUUUGGUUGCAGACUGAGAGGUGGCAAUGGGUGAGCUCAUCUCGGAGUUGCUGGUGGAUGUUUUCACCCAGGACAGUUGAAUACACCUAAGAAUUGGGCGUAUUUCCAUUUUCUAGAAGUUUCUAGAUGCUUCUGUUUCAACACCUAGGAGGACGGAAUCUCACAGUCAAACUUUCUUUUCAAUUUCUUUUUCUCCUCCCUGUCUUCCUCCCCCCUCCUCUUCAUCAUUUCCCUUCUCCCUUCCCUCAUCUUUUCUCCUUCUUUCUCAUCUUCUCUUCCUUCUCCACCCUGCACCUCUUCCUCAUCUCCCCCCCUCUUCUGUUCCUCCUCUAUCCACAUAGCAAAGUUGUAAACACACUAGCCCAUGGUAGCCCAUCCCUCCAUUUCCUGCCUAGGGUGUCCCUGCUGUUCUAGUUCAGCUCGGAUUCUGAUGUUUAAAGUGUGCAGAGAAACUGAGGUGGCUGGGAAUGGAAGUUUCUUGCUAUCUGGUUGGUCAUUUUGUUCCUCAUUGGGAAAUUCUAAGCCACUGUCUCUCAUGGCAAGCCCUCUGUAGACAUCCUUUUCCUGCCUGGGCUGUCUCAGUCUGUCUCGGUGCUCUUUCUGGUGCCCUAUGCCAGGGAACCUCUGCCCAGUCUUUCCUACCCUCCAGAUGAGGGCAGAUCUUCAGGUGUUCAGGGCACCCUUGGUUAUCCUUUGUGGCAUUUCAGAUAAUAAUACUCAUUACUUGAGUUAUCUGUUUACUGUUUACUGUUCCAAUGAAGGUGGCAGGUCAUCUUCAUCUGUUGGGGCUCAAGGCAUAGCACCCCCAAAGUACAAAUGCAUAAAAAUGUGACAUUUUAAAGUAUAUAUCUUUGCAAUUUUUGGGCUGGCUAUUUUGAGAAGUCAAGGACACAUGGAUAGCCCUAGUCAUUUCCAUAGCCCAGGGAGGUCUGCAGUGGUCAUCUUAUGUGUGCCUUCUCUGUUGCCAGACCCAGUUACUCAUAGUUAGCCAUGCUCUGAAAAUAGUAAGUGGAAAACUUCAGAAUAGUUAAGAAGUUAAGCAACAUAGCAGAUUGCAAUAAGCAACUGCUCUAUUCUGUUAUUGCUUAUCGGUGCUGGUCCCUUGCUAUGCCUAACUUUAUCAGCUUUAUGUGCUUUGUAGAAAGUGCUGCCAUGCAUCAGGUAUCUGCUGGGGUCCUGUCUGGAUAAGAGGAUGUUCUGCAUUUGCUUGUAAUCAAAACAGGUUUUCUCCUGGUGACUUGCCGAGACCCCAUUUGGAUCUUCUGAGGGUAGAGAGAAGGCAUUGCUUCCUUCCUCUGUGCUGAAGAUGUUUAUGACAUGCGUUGUAGUGAGUUGUCCUAGUGACUCAGACCAUGUUUCUAGACUUGCUAGAAAGAAGAGCAUCCUUUCUCCCACUAAAGCCUCCCCAGUCUUGACAUUUGUGGCCCAGUGAGGGGAAUGUUGCUUUCCUUGGAAAGAGGUCUAAGUGCUCGUUUGCCCCUCCCCAGGAUCGUGAGUCAUUACUUUUUCCUUCAGCCCUGGCGACACCGUCUGCCCAAGAACCCAUAAUGGUUUGUCCUUGGACAAUUCGAAGGAUGUGACUCUGCCUUGAGGGCACAUUUUGGGGAGGUGGAACCUCCAUUUAUUUGUCUCCACAAUUGUUUCAUCUGUGCUUUGUGGCUUCCUGUCCACUGCCUUCUCAUCUGAUGGUGUUGCCAUUAAUAACCCUCACACAGGUAAGGAAUUCUGCAUCUUGAGCAGGCAUGUGUGAUGUGUCCAGCAAAUGUUCUUAAUGAUGCAUUCAGAGCACUUCUCCCCCAAGACCCAGCUUCCAACUCAUCCAAAUCCAUCCAAGCUCUCACACAGGACCUUGGGGAUUAAAAUUCCUGAGUCUUUUGUGAAAAGCAAAAACACCUUCUGAACACACACACACACACACACACACACACACACACACACACACAGGAGGCUAAAUCCCCUAAGCUUUCAUUUCCCUUCAUGGUUGAACUUCUAUGACUCAGAUCAUUUGCAGGCAAUCUAUUUAGUUUGCUGGUCCUGUUGACUUCCAGGAGGUCAGAACUUCUGGUUUUGCCCCUCCAGGGGCAGCAUGUGGCCCCAGCUGGCUAUGGGGUGAUGGAAAUGGGAGCAAAGAAUGAGCUAUGUUGUUUGGAAUCCAUGUUGGGAGUUUGCAGGAUGCCCUAUGUUCUGUAGAGAUGGAGGUUUUCAGGUAGAGCUGUGGUUUGGGGUUUGCUGGUGGGAGGUGGGAUUGAUAUCAUUACAUAUACGUUACUGGGAGCAAUAUCUAGCAAUUAGAUGUUAUCUUCCAGGUGUAUAAACUAAACCUUUAAGAUUUUAAGCUGCUUGGAGGCCUCUCGGCACUUUAUGAAAAUAGUUCCAAUUGAGAAUGCCAGUUGGUGGCAAUGCUUUCUCUGGAUUUUCUUGCCAGCCCCAGGCCCUAGAAGCCAGGGUACCCCUGAAAAGGCUCAGAAGCGUUUAUUGUGCUGGCCUCUGCUUAGGAACAAUCGGGGCAGCCACCCAUUGAAUGGGUGGCAGUGGGCUGGCCAGGCACUUCUGGCCCCUGUCAACCCUCCUCCCAAGCUCUGUCACUUCUUGAACCACUUCACUGAAUCGCUCAGAAGUUCCCUCCUCCGAAUCUCACACAAUCGUCUGUUCUCUCUUUAUUAGGCACUUUGAGGGACAUCGUGGUCUACACCUGCCUUUGAAGGGGCCCCCACCACAGUUUUAAUGACCUCCAUUUGUCAAAGGAAAAGUUCAGAGUUCAUUCUUUUGUCCAAGCCCUGGCAACUGAAGCGUCCAGGGUACUGGCUGGUCAGUGAUCUUUAUGUCACUGGCUUGAAAUCUUUCCCUGUGACCCCGCUCAUGUCAAAACAGCUAGCUGGCCACUCUGGCCAUUGUCAUCAGAAUAAGGGCUAAGUGAUGCUGCUUGGUCAUUACGUGUGCCCUGAUUGCCAAUCAGGGCACAAUAGGAGGUCAUUAAGGGCCAUAAAAGUGCCAAAGCUGAGAAAGGAGACUUUGAAUGGAGCCAGAGGGCCCUGGGAGCCUGGCUAGCCUUGCUGCCUCCAGGAGAGGGGCUCCAGCAAUCUUGGAGGGGAAAAGUCAACUUGACAGAAUUAAGAAGUUUCUCCUCCCCAUGGCACUUUGAACAACUAUGUCCCUCCUUUCUCAGAUGAUACUAGGACAAAAACCAAGCAAUGUUGCAUGAGAAGACAGCAGUUUCCAGAAGCCCAGUCGUGUGGGCAAACAGGAAGUCAUUCCUGCCACAUCAGUUAGAGUCACACACACUUAGGUGCAGACCCAGCUCUCUGAAGGGACAGCGAUGGUUUUCUCAGAGUGCCCAUUUCAUGCCAGGCCGCUUGCUCUGUUCUGUUGUACAUAUUCAUGGGCAUUAACUCAGGUAAGCUUGACACUAAGUCAUGUAGGCAACAGAAGGCUUUCCUGGGUCUCUUCCCUGGCAUUGCUUGUCACAAGCUUCAGAUGAAUGUGGGAGUAUUUUGUGUAAGCACUGAAAGUUAAGUUUUAUUGAGCAAAGACCUUGUGCUAGCAUAAGCAUGAUCUCGAUCCACAUGUUGGAUCCUGGGGUCCAUACCACCACCAUCCUUGCUUCAUAAUCUGGAAAUUGAAGCACAAAGAAGUGGUGUGGACAUUGUCCAUUCCUGAGGUACCAGCACCUGCGUUGCACUGUGUAGCUUUAUGCCUACAGCUCCCAGCCACACUGACUGGGCUGUUAACCAUUGUGUAGGAUACAGGAGAGUAUAGACACUGACUUACUGUGUUGCUUCGGGCAAAUCACUUCACCUCUCUAUGACUUAAGUUUUGCUACUGGAUCUUGCCAAGAAUAGGUGAUCACUGAACUCAUCCAGAUGGUCUCAAUGGAGGAUCCUUCUCUGAGAGUAUGGAUGGCCAGAGCACACACUAUGGUCAUCUUUUUCAUUGCAAGGCAAGUCAUUUGAAACCUUGGUUUCGUAUUUUACAGAGACUAGAGUCCUUGUGAGUUUCCAGAGCAGGAAGAUUUUGGGGAAAUGUGGAGUUUGAUCUUUGUGUCUUUGGGCUCUGUGCAUCCUACAGGGGUGUGUCCCUUCCCCUCUGCCUAUCAGGAAUCUCCAAAGCUGGGUGUGGAGUCCCCCAGACAAGCCUACACAAGAGCAACUUUCAGCCCCUUCAGGGUCACCUUUUUGUUCAUAAGAAAAGGACCCUCAUCAUCAAAGCAACCUCCUGACACCAGAAAUCAGCUGGGAGUGGAUGGUAUGGGCACCAGAGGAGGAGGUCCCAUCCUGAGACUGUUGGGGGUUUCCAGAGCUGUGCUGGCAAGCUUCUCCUAGAGCCCACAAGAAAGCCUUGGACCCCAAAGAGGGACAUCUGUAAGAUUCUAGCUCUCUCAGAGAUUCUGUGUCCUAAAAGAUGGGGCUGUCCACAACACUUAAUGUCUGAGAGAAGGGAAUGCUGGGAGGAAAAUUAAUGCAGCUAUGUGGAACAACAUUUGCGUUAAAGGCCUCAUGGUUCUCAGCGUGACCAUGGACUGAUUGCUGCUGCAUUCUCAAGGAAACAGGCGGGAUCCUGCCAUCAUCUGUGACUUUCGAAUUCCCAGUGCCUGACAAUGUUAGAAAUCUCAUCCAGCCUACAUCCUGUUCCCUGGAAUAGCAGGAAUGGACCUGCAGCUGCUGAAGUCUGCAUUAUCCAAUGAUGCUUUUGGGGAAGAUGCUGUCCACUUCCAGGUCAGAAAAUUCCCUAAUGUUUGCCAGUCUGCCUUCAGUCCAAGUGCCAAACAUCUACAUAUUCUGUGUCGGACAGCCAUGCUCAUCAUGUGACCCAGGGCCAUGCCCUCUCUGUGGCUGACCCUUAGUAGUGAAAGAUGGUGGAGCUGACCCAUUGGGGACCUCUUCUAUUGUUAACAUGCUAUUUUAGCCAUUCCUUCCUUCUUUGAUUUCAUAUGUGUUUCAUAUGUGUUUCCUGUGGUGUGCUGGUCUCACAGACAUGGAAUCACUGAAUUCAUUUGUGAAUGAGACAGUAGCUUCAGCUCCCAUAGCUCGAAGGAAAUCUGAACAACUGGAAAGGAAAUCCUGGGACCUGGAGAAGGAUGAAGAAGGAUCCAAGAGGAGAGUUUACAACAAAUGGGUUUCAUAUCUCAGAGACUGACAGCCUUUCCAAGGAGUCUUGGCAGAUUGCACCCGAAGAGCUGAAUGGCAUUCAAGUGUGUCUCAGUGACAGCCUGUAAGGUCUGUGCAAGCAAUUCCUUCUCAAGAGACUGGGCAGGAGCUGGCCAAAAGAAGGACUGAGGGGUGUGGGUUUGGGUAAUAGAGGAGCAUAGGUAAAAGCUAGAAAGUCAAGGGUAGACUUGGAGGAGGGUAGACUCGGAGGAGGGUAGACCCAGGUCCAUCCCAGGGUAGUAAAGAUACUCCAAGGCUAUUCAGCAUAGCAGGGAUGUGAUCACAGCUCUAGGAAAGCCUCAUUAGCUGCAGCAAUGAGUGGGUGAGAUGUCUGAUCUAGAGCAUAAUGUAAGAGUAGUCCAGGGGAAAACUGUAAUCACUGUCACUCUCUGAAAUAAAGGAGACUCUGGAAGGGUGGGAAAAGAGCUGGGUGUUUGGCAUCAAGAGGUGGGGUCCAGAGAGGUAGAACACCAAAUUGUUCAAAAUAGAGAGAUGAGUCGAAGAUGACAUCUGGGCCUACACGUUCCCAUGGGAAGAUCACUGUGGGCUAUUUGACUCUGCGGCUAGCACCUUUGGAAGUCAGAUGGGGGGGGGAGGUAAGUUGGUUUUUGUUUUUAUUUUAAGUAAGAAAGGAUGCUAGUAGCUGAUGGUGAGUGUACAAUAUAUCCAUGUGUUCUGAAAGAGCACAUUCAACAAACCACUGAAAAUAUUCUAUAAAACUUGCACCUGGAGCCCUGGAGAUGGCUCAGCCAACAAUUUGCUUUCUAAGCAAGCAAGGACCAGAGUCAGAAUCUCCAGGGCUCAAAGUCAGGAGCAGCAGUGCAUUUCUGUGAUAGCAGUGUGCCUGCAGUGAGAUGCAAGGGAGACAGGGGACUCCACAGAGGCUCACAUACCAUCUAGGAUGAGCUAUGUGGCAGCGAACCCCAAAGAGAUUAGUGGAAGGUGAGUGCUGACACCGGAGGUUGACCUCUGAUGUCCACCCAUGCACUAUGGCAUGGUGGCUUCAGGUGGGGAUGCUCUUGCUGUCUAGACUAAGUAUGUGGCUUCUUGCUGUCUAGAGUCAGACCUCUAGUGUCUCCUCCUCAUGCUAUAAGGACAGGCAUGUUCCUGUCCUACCUAUUCACGUAUUAGUAGGCUUAAUUUAUCUACUUAUUGCCCCAUCUUCAUGACCAUAUUCCUCUUACUUAUCGCUAGGCUCGUGUGGCCUUGUCUCCUGAUAGCAAAUUGGUCAUUAUGUGUUCAACAAGUAGACUCUUAGGUGCUUGUCAUUUGGCCAAGCACUUUUGCAAAUCCUGGGGAAAGAUUAAUAUAUAAGCAGUGGACAAAGAGACCCAGUGGCCUAUGCUGCUUAACAACAAUUGUGGAAAUCUGUUAACUUCUAACAACCUGUGAGAUUUCCCUUGUCCAGACCAUGCAUAAGGCAAUCCUGUGUGGGCAGCAUGGAACAGUGUAGAGUAGCCCGGAACAGCACACAGAAAGUUGUGCCAAAUAUCAGGGUAGGAUGUGCCAGAAUGAAACAUCAAUUAGCUAUUGGAGGUGUCAGGAGAGAUUUUUAAGGGACAAAUGAACUGUGUGCCCUGGGGUAUUAGGGUCCAGCCCACUGUCUAUUCUACUUGGCUAUUUUCUCCACGGGGACUACAUAUCCAUCUUGCCUACUGGAAAGUCAGUGGCUGCCUGGAGCAUUGAGGUUCUCUUAUUAUUAACCAGAGGGAGCCGUUCUUCCCUCUCUCGGAAGCCCUAGCUUAUCUGGAGGGACCUCUGUCUCCAAGAGCUGUAAAACAGGCUUUUCCCCUAAGCUAACGGCACACAAUAGAGUCACAUUAUGUAUAAUGAUUUUGUAAUGUGAACUAAUUCCACCAGGGACCUCAUGGAAAGUACCACUUUCAUUAAACUCAUCCAGCAACAAGGACCGAAUACCAAUUUGGAGGUGAUGGCAAUUUGCAAGGCACGAAUGUUUGAGACAGUUGCUGGGGCUUCCCUGAGCAAAGGCCCUUGGGAUAGAAAUCCACCCACUGGGUGACUGUGGAAUCCUGGCACAAUGGUGGUUGGGGAAAAGGCAUACUCCCUCUCCACCCCACUCUGUGCUCUAGCUAUUAGAGUCUGGGCUUCUUGACUCUGUUUCCGUGGUCUCCUCCAUCUCUAGGGCAGUUCUGCUGCCCCUGACACAGCAGCAAGGGCACCAGGGCAUCACUAGGAAUUAAUGAGACUCCAAUUACAUUUAUUUGCUUCAAGGAAUUAUACCCAGCACUGACCCUCCCAGAUAACAGUGGCUCCCAACACCUUGGUGUCCCUUCAGAAGUCAGUAAUUAUGAGAAAGACAUACGAGAGGGACACAUGGGAGCUGACUCAGAAGUAAAUAGAGAGACACAGGCCUCCUCUGCAGCAGGGCACACCAGCUCCACUCUGAUGCCUGUGUUGCCUUCCUGAGACUUGUCAAGGCCACCAACACCCAGAGAUGAGAGAGAAGACAGUACCAUCAGAAGCCCCCCUGUGCCAUUUUCCUGCCUCGCUAAUCUUAAUUGAAUCCAUCUCUCAGGCUCUCUUGACAGUGAAAGAUUGAUCAAAUCAGAGAGGCCAGGCUGGACACCACUCUUAAAAGAAAAAAAAAAUCUUCCCGAAUCAUUAAUUUGUCCAUUCUCUCCCAUUUGGCCCCAUUCUUCACUGUCCUGCAGUCCCCCUUCUCAGUAAUCACUCUCGAGUGUUCUUCCCAAUGGGCCACCAUGGCAGGAAAGUAAUUUACCAGAGGCGGGGUUUUCAGGACAGCUCUGUUCUCUCCCUCCCUGGCAUUCUUUGUCCCCUGACUAUGAAGUCCAGUGUGGCUCUAAUUAAGUCUAGUGAGGUCUCGGAACACACACUGGUGAGCAGGUCUCCAUCCCUCUUCCCUGGAGCCAGAAGUACCUGAACAUGGGAACUGUGGGCUGCAUGCACCUGGAUCCCGUCUUGAAGGGAACCAUGGGGUGCCUUCAGGAGCUGCUCCUUCCCCUCCACUACCCCCAGCUCUUAGGCUGUAGGCAUCACCUAUCCCAAAGUAAGUCCAAUAUACAGUGAGCAAGCAUGAGGCAGCCAGAGCCAUCAGAGAAAGCUCCUCACCCACAGCCAUUAUCUUUGGUGUGGCCUCUGUAAUAGCAUGGUAAUGGGCCCUGCUCCUUGUCUUGCCUCAGACAUUCAGAUCUCCGACAUUCUGUACUCCCGGCACAGUUAAGCCUCCAAAGCACUGGAUGCAUUGUUUCACCCUCUGCUCAGGCCUCCUUAUGCUCCAUUUCUUCCUCAGCUAAAGUUAAAGAGUUCCGGUGGUCUACCAGCCCUGUAGGAACUGGACCCUAGCUAUCUCUCUGAUCUCGUUCUCUUCUUAAUGCAUUCUCUUGCUCAUUCCCCUCCAACUGCCCUGGUCUCUCUUAAAGAUGCCACUUUUGUUCCUCCUUCAGCCUCUCAGCUGGCUGUCCCCUGCCUUCCAUGUUCUUCGUUGUGGAUACAACCAUUCCUUUCCCUUCACUGGCAUUAAAUGCCUGGGCUAGAUAACAGGUUUUAAGAUGAAGAGGACUAGCUGCCCUUGCAGGUAACUCAGUUUCCGUGCCCAGCACUGCACACAUGGUGGCUCACAUAUCAUCUGUAACUCCAGUUGCUUAGGAUCCAGUACCUCCUCUGGUUCUGAGGGCAUCAGGCAUGCACAUGAUACACAUAUACAUAUGUAGGUAAACAUUAAAUAAAUGAGGUCAUUCUGUCAAGGCACAUGCUUGACCACAUUGCUCCCUAAACUACCCCCUAUAGUGCUACUUAGCUUUCCAGCUAGUGUUCAUUGUUUGGCCCAGUGUUUGCGUUAUUUCUGUCUCCUGCUACUGUUUUGUAAGAUCCAUAGCAGGUUGUCCCUACCACAUAGUAAUAUUUAUUAAAUAUUGUGAAUAUAUAAAUGUUUAGUGAUGGGGCUGUUGAGAUGACUCAGAGGGUAAGAGGUGCUUGCCGUCAAGUUUGAUGCCCUGAGUUCAAUUCCCCAAACCCACAUGGUAGAACUGAUUCCCACAGUGGCCCUCUGAUUUCGAUAUGUGUGCUGUGGCAAUGUGUGCCCACAAAUAUGUGUAAAUAUUAAAACAUAUGUAAACAAAUGAGUAAGUGUGAAACACUUUUAAAGAUGUGUUUAAUGAGUGACUGUUACAGUAACAAGAUUUACUGUGAGCAUGUUUAAUGA